CGACAGAUCCAGCCAUGUGCUCGCUCUGUCCGCGUUCGAAGAAAGCCCAUCAUCCGAAAAAGCUCGUGCGCUUCGACUCCAUUGUCGACACGUUCUCCAUCUCAGACUCCAAUGCGGCGAACAAUGAGAGGGUAAGUCACGAGUUCCUUUCUACUGCUAUGUUAACGUGAGUAAUUUUUAAAUAUAAAUUUCUUAAAUAUAAACAUUGUUCUGGUCGAAGAGACAAUUGUCGAACUAAAAUUAUAUCUUAACUGUCAAAAUACUCAUCGCUCAGUAGGCCAAUUAUGAAACAAGAAAAACGUGUUACAUUAGUUUUUAACUUGUAAUUAAAUCGCUAUAACAAUUAUUAGACGUGAAUCCUUCCCACAUCGAGACUCCUAUUAUUGAAUCGUGGCGGUCGAUAGCGCAAUCCAUAUAUGAUAUUAACCGUUUCUAAUUUCCGCUGAUCGACAGCAACUCCAUUCUAAUGGUUUCAGUUAUCAUUGAAACCUGAUACGCUACCAUGAAUCAGUAUUCCAAUUCUAUGAAUUUGUUCUCAAUUUCUUGAUCUUGUUAGUAUAAAUUUCGUUAUUAUCAAUCCUUUUUUGGAAAAGAAGGGAGCAGAGCGUUCUUUGCAUUUGAUCCGCCUAAUUCGCUAAGAGUAUCUCCUGUUUCUAGCAUUCUUGGCAAUCAAUUUCUACGGUAACCUAUGACUUAAUGUCGGUAAAACAAAGGAGUAGAGUGUUCUCUGUCUCUGUCGAGCGUUCUCGACAUCCGACACCACAGACUAUUAUUGGUGAUAGAGCAUUCUCUGUCUUCACCGAAGAGCAUUCUUGGCCUUGGUAACUGGAUUCUAACAAUUUAGUACGCCUAUUGUAGAAUGUACAUGUGCUAAUACGUACAGAGCACAUUAGAUUAUCCGUGUAUUGAAUAAAUUCGUUUUUCCGAAACAAAUAAAUCAACCAAACUUACAUCAAUCAAAUUUAAAUUAAAUUUAUAAUCAAGCUUAUAAUAAAUUUGUUAUUGAUGAAAAGUUAAAUAUUGUUUUAGUACCAAAUAUAAAGUAUAAUAAAAAAAUGACCCAAGUGAUUCGCAUUCAGCAAUUCUGUACCUUGCAUACUUUUAUAUAUAAAAUAAUAUCACAAAUCGAUUUUUUUAUUAUCUAUAUUAUUCGUAUACUUUUAUACGAUAUUAUUUAUCCAUAAAAUAAAAUUUGCUUACUUAUUACUGAAAGGAUAUUAUCUACAUUUUGUGUUUUGCAAUUUAUAUAGUUUUAAAGAUACAUCUUCAAUAAUAGUCCAUCUACAUCAGCAAAUAGCUAGUCGGUGUACAUAGAACGGCGUACACGUAGCGCUUUGCAAACGCGAAAUCUUUCGCCGCGAUCCCCUCGGUCCUUUCAGGAAAGCGAGUUCGCGAGGCACGGGGUACAAAGCGCUCGUUAGAAUUAAUUCGAAAAGACGCAUGCCACUCUGUGCGGGAACAAAGUUAGUUUCCCGGCGACAAAGGCGAAAUACGACAAAGAUGGCGCGGGAAGUCAGUUUCAAAGCUCCCGGCCGUACCUUGUGUCGGGUGGCUGUGCCGCGCGGAAAACCAAGUUGAAAUAACAAGACGUGUCGCCCGCCGCGGAAAUUGCGCGGCUUUUGUUUCCGUGCGCGAGCUUCCACGCGUGCGUAUGUACCUGUCGUAACGAUUACUCGCGGCAAAAACGCGGUAUCCGUAAUUCAUCGCGCUUCGCGUAUUUUGGCGUAAUACAUCGCGCGAAUCUUCUUGUACUUCGCGCCAAUCCGCGAAUCUGUUUCUCGCGUUCCUGCCGUCUGAAAAUCUUCAGAACGCCCAUACAUUGCGCGCGAUUCCAAUCGCCCCUCCCUCGUCCAUAUUUCACCCAACUGAUUCCACGUUCCUACGUAGCGUCGUCGAUCGUGGGGAGACCGUGAGAUCACGGACAGGUUUCCCGCUGUACGUCGUUGGCAAAUGUUGGUCCGGGCCAGGGGUGGCGAAGCCGGGACCUCCGCGCGCGGCCUCGUCUCGGCGUUCCGCUCGCUUUUUAUUUUAUUUAAUCUCGCCGUAGAGACGGAUAAAGGGAAACCGUCCGUCGCGAAGAGUAACUGGAGAAAUACCCGGCACGUUCCUUAUCGCCGUCGACCUAAAUUACGACGUCCGUUUCGAGUCGGACUUGCCUCUCCCCCGGCCGGCCGCCUCUUCCCGAUUCCUCCUUUAUAAUCAGUUUGAUGCGACGGGAAUUUUAAGGCCGUCGCCCGAACCGUGGCUCCGGUAUCACGCGGACGAUAACGUACGUACGUACGUGCCCGGCGCGAAUCGAGCGAGCUUAUCACGUAAAGAAACGUACGUGCGCGCGCGCCGUCCGUGUGUCGGUCGUCCCUUAGCAUUAGCGGCGAGGCGAACUUUUCGAAGUUCGCGCGGCCGGCCCGCCCUGCAACCCACAAUCCAUUCGCCUUCUUCCGCGCAGCCGGGAUUUAGGAUUCCGCCGCUGUUAAUCGCCACCGGGGAUAAUCCGAUUAUCACUUAAUCCUAAGCUCAUCGAUGCGCGCCGUGUCAAACGCAUCUCUUCGUUUUUCGUCCUGUCCGGUAGACAGGAGAAUCCUUUAUUGGAGUUGGGAAAUUCUAAGCUCGGAAGAAACGCGCGGGGAAAUCUAACACCGUUAAAAUUUUCGGUGUCGUUAAAAGCGGGAAAUGUCGGGUGACUUUGCGAAAUAAUCUGUAAUAUCAUCGUAUGAAAAUAGUUUUAUUCAUUAAGACCGAAGUGUCUGACUAAACUCCCGGGAGUAGUGCAAUUACGUCUUACAGCUCGGAUGAUAAACAGACGCGUAAACUUUGUCAAAUACAUGCGCAUUUGUGAAAUUAAAUUCCAUUGGUGUCAUCGGAAACAAUUUUACCCCGACAAACGAGAUAAUUAACACGCUGCAGUCAUCUCCACGUCGAGCGCAACGUUUAUCCCGAAUUCUCUUGGCAUUUCGGACUGAUAUGUGCGCCACUCUCUUUCGUACAAAUUCGUACACGUCCCCACGAUGAGUUUCUCCAAAAGUUGGCCAACCCGCGUUUAGGUGAACAUUUUAAGAACAUGAGGUGCCUGUGAAAUGACCCCCUGGCCUAAAUUAAUCCGGACAAACAGGCACGUACCCUACUAAAUAUUAAAGAAUCAAAUUUAAACUAAUUCUUUGAAUUAAAUAACACAUUUUGUAUAACACAUUCUGUAUAACUCAGUAACAUAUUUUUAACGUCUAUGUAUGUCAAAAUAAUUUAUUGUUUUAACACAAAACAUAUAAUUAAAAAAACAACCUCUAAUCAACACAUUCUGUGGUUGAGUUGCUUAUUUUUAGAAUAAACAGUAUUUAUAUUAACGUGCAUACUUAAUAAAUAAUAAACAAAUUUACUUUUUAACAUUUCUUGCAUGACAUUACUUGCAUGACACAACUAUAAUACAAUUUAAAUUAACAUAUUAGUAUCAAUGACGACUUUUAGGAAUGAUUAAAAUAAUUUCAAUUUCAAUUUAAAACUAC